UUUUUUUUUUUGUGUUUUUAUUUUCACUCUUUUUUGUGAAUUACAUAAUUUGUUCAUUGUUGUGAGUUAUUAUAUUGUUGUCUGGAAGAAUUUGUAGCAUACAGAUCAAAUUGCAGGCUUUGCAGCGACGGUUCAGCGAACUCUGUCUAUAUACUAAAGGUGUUGAAAAACCAUUCGCUUAAUCAUAGCAGCAAAGCAAGGAAUAUUGAGGGUGUUUGCAGCCACGCAACGAAUGAAUAUGGGGCGAAGGUCAGUGCUUCUCAUACAGCUCCUACUAUACUCUGCCUGUUCUUCCAUAUCACUGGAGCCACCACCAUCCAUACUGCCAAAAUAGUUACGAAGAUAAUUUUUUAACAUUUAACCAAAACAAAAAC